UGCAGUCGAGCGGACAGAAGGGAGCUUGCUCCCGGAUGUUAGCGGCGGACGGGUGAGUAACACGUGGGUAACCUGCCUGUAAGACUGGGAUAACUCCGGGAAACCGGAGCUAAUACCGGAUAGUUCCUUGAACCGCAUGGUUCAAGGAUGAAAGACGGUUUCGGCUGUCACUUACAGAUGGACCCGCGGCGCAUUAGCUAGUUGGUGAGGUAACGGCUCACCAAGGCGACGAUGCGUAGCCGACCUGAGAGGGUGAUCGGCCACACUGGGACUGAGACACGGCCCAGACUCCUACGGGAGGCAGCAGUAGGGAAUCUUCCGCAAUGGACGAAAGUCUGACGGAGCAACGCCGCGUGAGUGAUGAAGGUUUUCGGAUCGUAAAGCUCUGUUGUUAGGGAAGAACAAGUGCAAGAGUAACUGCUUGCACCUUGACGGUACCUAACCAGAAAGCCACGGCUAACUACGUGCCAGCAGCCGCGGUAAUACGUAGGUGGCAAGCGUUGUCCGGAAUUAUUGGGCGUAAAGGGCUCGCAGGCGGUUUCUUAAGUCUGAUGUGAAAGCCCCCGGCUCAACCGGGGAGGGUCAUUGGAAACUGGGAAACUUGAGUGCAGAAGAGGAGAGUGGAAUUCCACGUGUAGCGGUGAAAUGCGUAGAGAUGUGGAGGAACACCAGUGGCGAAGGCGACUCUCUGGUCUGUAACUGACGCUGAGGAGCGAAAGCGUGGGGAGCGAACAGGAUUAGAUACCCUGGUAGUCCACGCCGUAAACGAUGAGUGCUAAGUGUUAGGGGGUUUC
rnacentral:rRNA from 1 species